ACUUCUUUGCAACACUGGUCUUCAUCAAAUGGCUUGUUCUCAAAUCUGAUCAAGUUUCUACUCCUCCAUAGCAAUGCAACAGUAGUAACAAAUGCAGUGGCAGUGAUUGCCUGCUGCCAGUGUUUACUCUUAACUUUGCUACAAAUCCAUUUCACUUCAUUCUCUCAGCAUUCAAUGAUCCUAGCAUGUCCCAACCACACACAGAUUCUUC
rnacentral:lncRNA from 1 species